rnacentral:tRNA from 1 species
GCCUCGUCGGUCCAGCGGAGUGGACGCCGCCCUGUCAAGGCGGAGAUGCGCGGGUUCGAAUCCCGUACGAGGCG